UACGUAGGGGGCGAGCGUUGUCCGGAAUUAUGGGGCGUAAAGAGCUCGUAGGCGGUCUGUCGCGUCGAUCGUGAAAACUUGGGGCUUAACCCUGAGCUUGCGGUCGAUACGGGCAUGACUGGAGUUCGGCAGGGGAGACUGGAAUUCCUGGUGUAGCGGUGAAAUGCGUAGAUAUCAGGAGGAACACCGGUGGCGAAGGCGGGUCUCUGGGCCGAUACUGACGCUGAGGAGCGAAAGCGUGGGGAGCGAACAGG
rnacentral:rRNA from 1 species